GGCAGAAGUGAAGUGUAACCAGUAACCUGUGUUUCACUCCAUCAGCUCCCUGACAGCCCUGCUUUGGGAAGUUAAUCUUUUUUCAUUUUGUCUGUCAUCUCGUGCUUUUCGCAUACUCUACAAAUUGAAAGAGGCCACUGUGGAGAAACUGAGUGAGGACCAUAGUUGGUCUGGAUUAUAAAUGCAGGCAGAAGGAGGACAAUAGGAUUCCUGAGUUAAGAAGAACAGGAUGGAUACAUUUCAUCACACUGACAUAUGGUUUGCUCUGUGCUUCUUGGACACUGAAGAAAACCUGUAAUUAAGAUUUCAAAAGGCAGAGGACUCAGUUAGAUAGAAAAUACUGCUGUCCUGAUCGCUUAAGCAAGGAGGUGCUGAGCACCAGACUCCAGUUACAGUCAAUGAGAGCUGCAGGUGCCUGAGCACCAGUGAACAUCAGGUUCAAAGAGUCUCACGUAGGACGAACAAAAACUGAGACAUCUGAAAAUCAAUGACCACUUUGGAAAAAUGGGACCUAUAUGUCUG